ACAGAGGAAGGAGAAACAGGGAAUUAAUGCAGGUCAGAGGAAGGAGAAACAGGGAAUUAAUGCAGGGCAGAGGAAGGAGAAACAGGGAAUUAAUGCAGGGCAGAGGAAGGAGAAACAGGGAAUUAAUGCAGGUCAGAGGAAGGAGAAACAGGGAAUUAAUGCAGGGCAGAGGAAGGAGAAACAGGGAAUUAAUGCAGGGCAGAGGAAGGAGAAACAGGGAAUUAAUGAAGGGCAGAGGAAGGAGAAACAGGGAAUUAAUGCAGGGCAGAGGAAGGAGAAACAGGGAAUUUAUGUAGGGGCAAAGGAGAAACAGGGAAUUAAUGCAGGGCAGAGGAAGAAGAAACAGGGAAUUAAUGCAGGGCAGAGGAAGGAGAAACAGGGAAUUAAUGAAGGUCAGAGGAAGGAGAAACGGAAUUAAUGCAGGGCAGAGGAAGGAGAAACAGGGAAUUAAUGCAGGGCAGAGGAAGGAGAAACAGGGAAUUAAUGCAGGGCAGAGGAAGGAGAAACAGGGAAUUAAUGAAGGUCAGAGGAAGGAGAAACAGGGAAUUAAUGAAGGUCAGAGGAAGGAGAAACAGGGAAUUAAUGCAGGGCAGAGGAAGGAGAAACAGGGAAUUAAUGCAGGGCAGAGGAAGAAGAAACAGGGAAUUAAUGCAGGGCAGAGGAAGGAGAAACAGGGAAUUAAUGCAGGGCAGAGGAAGGA
ensembl:lncRNA